UACGUAGGGGGCAAGCGUUGUCCGGAUUUAUUGGGCGUAAAGAGCGUGUAGGCGGCCAGGUAGGUCCGUUGUGAAAACUCGAGGCUCAACCUCGAGACGCCGAUGGAAACCAUCUGACUAGAGUCCGGAAGAGGAGAGUGGAAUUCCUGGUGUAGCGGUGAAAUGCGCAGAUAUCAGGAAGAACACCCGUGGCUAAGGCGGCUCUCUAGUACGUGACUGACGCUGAGACGCGAAAGCGUGGGGAGCGAACAGG
rnacentral:rRNA from 1 species